AUUGAACGCUGGCGGCAGGCCUAACACAUGCAAGUCGAGCGGCAGCGGGAAAGUAGCUUGCUACUUUUGCCGGCGAGCGGCGGACGGGUGAGUAAUGCCUGGGAAAUUGCCCAGUCGAGGGGGAUAACAGUUGGAAACGACUGCUAAUACCGCAUACGCCCUACGGGGAAAGCAGGGGACCUUCGGGCCUUGCGCGAUUGGAUAUGCCCAGGUGGGAUUAGCUAGUUGGUGAGGUAAUGGCUCACCAAGGCGACGAUCCCUAGCUGGUCUGAGAGGAGGAUCAGCCACACUGGAACUGAGACACGGUCCAGACUCCUACGGGAGGCAGCAGUGGGGAAUAUUGCACAAUGGGGGAAACCCUGAUGCAGCCAUGCCGCGUGUGUGAAGAAGGCCUUCGGGUUGUAAAGCACUUUCAGCGAGGAGGAAAGGUUGAUGCCUAAUACGUAUCAACUGUGACGUUACUCGCAGAAGAAGCACCGGCUAACUCCGUGCCAGCCGCCGCUGUAACAC
rnacentral:rRNA from 1 species